ensembl:lncRNA
GUGUACAGCCCCAAAGAAAGCAGUGGGUUCUUGUUGACCAGGAUGGAAAGAUGACCUGAAAUUGUAAAGGAUUGAGUACUGAAUUAUUUAAAUUGUGGAAGGAAAGCAUCCCACCUUCUAAACCCUUAGUGCUUACAGCAAGAGGAAAGAUGCAUCCAAAUGUCAAAACUGCAGGAGAAACAACAAUUAUUUCUAAGAACUUUCUCACAAUGUGUUUAUGGCCAUCUAAACUGUUGCUAGAUAUGUUAGGUGAGGAGGAGGCAAGCUAGCCAGAGCUUCUUGUAGAUGGCAACCACACUGCCCUCUGGAUUCUCCUGAGUCUGCCUGAAGGAUGAGGAAGCAUGCAGAUGACACAUUGCUGGUGAAACAUGGG